GCAGAAAUCAGAGUCUCCAGUAUCCACCUGUGUGUCUGAACAUCAUCCUCCAGACGUCAUUCAUAAAGCUGGAUCCUCAGACUUAAAGGUGGAGGACAAACGGGACAGCGCUACACCUGCCACACAUAAAGGACCUGAUCCGUCCACAUCCAGCACAAAGGAUCAGCUGGAUCCUGAUGAUCCAGAGAGGCUGAAACAGCAGCAGCAGCAGCUUGAGUGCAGAGAGAAUGUGACUGGGAUCAGUUACCGGCAGGACUUCACACCCAAAGUGCUGACUGAGUCUGCAAACAUUUCAUACAGGUUCAGCUGUCCUGGUCC